UACAGGGGGUGCAAACGUUGCUCGGAAUCAUUGGGCGUAAAGCGCACGUAGGCGGUUCGUUAUGUCGGAUGUGAAAGCCCUUGGCUUAACCGAGGAAGUGCAUCCGAAACUGGCGAGCUAGAGUACUAAAGAGGAUCGCGGAAUUCCCGGUGUAGAGGUGAAAUUCGUAGAUAUCGGGAGGAACACCGGUGGCGAAGGCGGCCGAUCGUGGGUAGAUACUGAACGCUGAGGCGCGGAAAGCGUGGGGAG
rnacentral:rRNA from 1 species